GAUUCUGGCUCAGGAUGAACGCUGGCGGCAGGCUUAAUACAUGCAAGUUGAACGGUAACAUGUUGUAGCAAUACGAUGAUGACGAGUGGCGCACGGGUGCGUAACACGUGUGUAACCUACCUUAUACAGGAACAUAACGUUGAGAAAUCGGCGCUAACAUUCCAUAAUAUUAUUUGUAGGCAUCUAUGAAUAAUUAAAACUCCGGUGGUAUAAGAUGGGCACGCGUUCCAUUAGCUAGUUGGUAAGGUAACGGCUUACCAAGGCAACGAUGGAUAGGGUUCUGAGAGGAUAAUCCCCCACACUGGAACUGAGACACGGUCCAGACUCCUACGGGAGGCAGCAGUAAGGAAUAUUGGGCAAUGGAGGCAACUCUGACCCAGCCAUGCCGCCGUGCAGGAAGACGGCCCUAUGGGUUGUAAACUGCUUUUAAUAGGGAUUAAAGUCGACUACGUGUAGUUGUUUGCAAGUACCUAUAGAAUAAGCAUCGGCUAACUCCGUGCCAGCCGCUGC
rnacentral:rRNA from 1 species